rnacentral:tRNA from 1 species
GCUUUCGUAGUGUAACGGUAGCACAAACUCUGCGCGUAUUCGUAUUCGAGAGGUCCAGGUUCGAAUCCCGGCGAAAGUA